GCACGGCUAACUCCGUGCCAGCAGCCGCGGUAAUACGGAGGGUGCGAGCGUUAAUCGGAAUUACUGGGCGUAAAGCGCAUGCAGGUGGUUUGUUAAGUCAGAUGUGAAAGCCCGGGGCUCAACCUCGGAAUUGCAUUUGAAACUGGCAAACUAGAGUACUGUAGAGGGGGUAGAAUUUCAGGUGUAGCGGUGAAAUGCGUAGAGAUCUGAAGGAAUACCGGUGGCGAAGGCGGCCCCCUGGACAGAUACUGACACUCAGAUGCGAAAGCGUGGGGAGCAAACAGGAUUAGAUACCCUGGUAG
rnacentral:rRNA from 1 species